GCGAGGAUUGCCCGUAACACGGCUCUCCUCGAAUUUCCAGGCUCUACGUCUUUUUACACACCCCAAUAGUAUGAUGCAGAAUGUAGUCAAUGGGCUUCUCAGCCUAUAAAACACUAUACAACUUUCAGCAACGGAUCUCUUGGCUCUCGCAUCGAUGAAGAACGCAGCGAAAUGCGAUAAGUAAUGUGAAUUGCAGAAUUCAGUGAAUCAUCGAAUCUUUGAACGCACCUUGCGCUCCUUGGUAUUCCGAGGAGCAUGCCUGUUUGAGUGUCAUUAAAUUCUCAACCUCACCAGUUUUCUGAACUGUUCUUCGAGGCUUGGAUGUGGGGGUUUGUGCAGGCUGCCUCACGGCGGUCUGCUCCCCUGAAAUGCAUUAGCGAGUUCAUACUGAACUUCCGUCUAUUGGUGUGAUAAUUAUCUACGCCGUGGACGAGGAUCAGACUCGCUUCUAACCGUCCGCGAGGACAAUACCCUGACAAUUUGACCUCAAAUCAGGUAGGACUACCCGCUGAACUUAAGCAUAUCAAUAAGCGGAGGAA
rnacentral:rRNA from 1 species